AGGACGAACGCUGGCGGCGUGCUUAACACAUGCAAGUGGAGCGACGAACCAGGGCUUGCCCUGGGGCAGAGCCGCGAACGGGUGAGUAACACGUGGGUUACCUGCCUCAAUGACUGGGACAACCCGAGGAAACUCGGGCUAAUACCGGAUGUGCCCGCAAGGGGAAAGGAAGCUUCGGCCUCCGCAUUGAGAUGGGCCCGCGGCCCAUUAGCUUGUUGGUGAGGUAACGGCUCACCAAGGCUUCGAUGGGUAGCUGGUCUGAGAGGACGAUCAGCCACACUGGGACUGAGACACGGCCCAGACUCCUACGGGAGGCAGCAGUGGGGAAUCUUGCGCAAUGCGCGAAAGCGUGACGCAGCAACGCCGCGUGGGGGAAGAAGGCUUUCGGGUUGUAAACCCCUUUCAGUUGGGACGAAGCUCCGUCGGUAAAUAGCCGAUUGGGGUGACGGUACCUUCACAAGAAGCACCGGCUAACUACGUGCCAGCAGCCGC
rnacentral:rRNA from 1 species